GGUCCCAGGGCUGAAGGAUGCUGAUUGAUUCAGAGCCUGCUAAAGGGACUGACAAAGUGGGGUCACUGAUUUCAGGAGGUGUGGGGAGAGUAUCCAGGGCGAUUGUAAGAAUUUCAUACCCCCUGCCCCCAUAGUGUAUCUCAGUGCGCCUGGGAGCAGGAGGAGCAAGGGCAUCAGGCUGGCAAGUGGCCCAGGCCAGCGCAGACCAGGCUUCUGCUGUGGGAGGCAGAGGCAGGGCUGAGUUGCUGUUGGAGCACGUGUCCGCCAGAGGGCGCCAGCGCACAGCGGAGGCCCCUGCAGCCCCCUGUUUGCCUGUCCAGGCUUCCAAGUGGAUUGGAGAGGGACCCAUGGAACCUCGAGGUGGUGCCUGGAGCCUGGUUUGUGUUCAUAAUGCCUUGGACCCUGCGGCCCAAUUUGCCGCAACUCAGUGAGGGGACAGAAUUCUUCCAUCACGUGUCUAAUUCAAUUCAUGUUUGGUCACGUGGCCCCAAAAUGACGGAGAUUGACAGGCUGUCUGUGGUCAGAGUGUCCUUUGCUAGUUUGCAGGCAGACCUCCAGUCCCCAGAAACACCUGGCUUGAAUGUGGGAUGUGCAGUUUUCUAGAAUCAGCCUGGCAGGGAGUUUGGCUUCCGGAAAGCUGGGCUUCAUGUCACGAAUGCAGUGUGCCUGUGCUGUUGUCUCUUGGGGGGGGGGGGUGGACUGUGGUCAUGGCUGGGUCUUUCUCUCCAGAGAGCUCCACAACCUCCAUCUUCCCUCUGCAGUUGAGCCGCUUCAGCCUCUGUGGGACACCCACUCGAAGGAAGCCGUCUAAAGCCAUGUAAGGUGAAUCACAGCUGAUUUGUUUAGGAUUCCAAGCAGAGUCCCAGGGAGGAAGGCUGCUGAUUCAAAGCCUGCUGUCCUGACUUAAAAGGAGGGUGGCUGAUUUUGGGGGGUGCCCCAGGCCAGUGCAGAGCAAGAUUCCUCUGUGGGAGGCAGAGGAAGGGCUGAGACUUGCUGUGAGGGCCUCUGUCCACCAGCCUGAGCUGGAGCAACAGCAGGGCUUCCCCGACCCCCACCUACUCUCACCACCAUGGCCGCAUCACCAGGCUCAGAUUCAGGGUGCAAAAGGCUUGGUGGAGGCCCAAGUGGGUACCCAGACAUUUGUAUUUGGGUACUUGGUGCCUCCUACGCUGUGCCUCAGCUCAGAGGAGGAUUAAAGUUCGGCCACCACAUUUCCGGUUCAAUCUGUGCCUGAUCAGGUGGCCCAAUGGCUGGAGAGUUUGACAGGUGGCCUCGGGCCUGAGUGCCCUUUGCUGGUUUGAAGCACAUUGCUGGACCCAGAAACCCCUGCCUUAAAUCUUGGGCGUGCAGAGUUGUAAAUCAGCCUGGGGUGAUAUUUGGCUUCUGGAAAGCUGGGCUUUUGUCAGGAAUGCAGCGCAGUGCUGUGGGGGCAGGUCUCAGCUUCUCCCUGUGCCUUUCUCUCUAGAGAGCUCCACCUCCUCCUUCCUCCUGUUCCACCUGAGCUGCUUCCUCCUCUGUGGGGGACUCUGUCAAGAAACCUACCUCAACCCAGGGAACGUGAAUGAUGCCUGGGAGGUCCUGGAUCUCAAGCCAGGUGCAGGGCUGUGGGGUGCUGAUGGAAGCCACCUGGUUCCACUAACUUACCAAGGUGUCUGAUUUCAGGGAGUGGGGUGGUCUCAGUUGGGGUGAGGGCCCUGGCUGACUCUGAGAUAUUCCCCCCAUCAUGCCUUUCAGUGCGCUGUGAGGGAGAGGACUUAGGAAAUCAGGCUGGCAAGGGGCCCAGGCCUCUACCGGGAGUGUAGACCAGGCUUCUGCUGUAGGAGGCAGAGGGAGGCCUGAGAUUGUUAGAGCAGAUGGCCACCAGAUGGCACCAGAGUGCCCCCUGCUGCAUCGCCUGGACUUCACCUUCAGGCCCCCAGGCAAGAUUGGAGAUGGGUCCUUGGUCUGGUGGCCCAAUGGCUAGAGAGUUUGACAGGCUAACUCGGGUCUGAGUCCUGUUGGUGGUUUGGAGUUACAACUCUGGACCCAGAAAUACCGGGCUUGGAUUUUGGCCCUACAAUUUGCUGGAAUCAGGCUGGUCCCUGUGGAAUUGUACUUCUGGAAAGGUGGCCUUCUGGUUGUGAAGGCACUGUGUCAGCACAGUGGUUUCGGGCGCAGACUGUGCUCAUACCUGUGCUCUUUCUCUCCAGAGAUCUCCUCAAGCUUUUCCUUCCCUCCCACCUGAUCCUCUCCCUCCUUGGCCAGACACCUGCUGCAGGAAAGCUACCUAAAACCAGGUAACUUUUACAAAGGCUGCAAGGUCCUUGGUUUCAUGCUGGGUCCCAGGGUUGAAGGGUGCUGACUGAUCAGGGGCUGCUCACAGGACUUACCAAGUGGGGUUGUUGAUUUCAGGGUGUGGGGUGAGUUCCGGCUCUGAGAUUGUCACACCCCAGCCCGUAGCGUGUUUCUGGGCGCUGAAAGGGAGAGGAGGAAGGAAAUCACACUGGCAGUGCCCCCGGGCCCUGCAGAGCGGACUUCUGCCGUUGGAGGCUGUCAGGGCUCCGAGUUGCUGUUAGAGCAGCGCAUUCUGGUCAAAGGGCUCUGGAGAACCCCGGAGACCCUCCUCUCCUUCAGGCUGAAAUACGUGGUUGCCGAUUGUAUGACGAGACCCCACGGAAGUGCUCGGGGCUGAGAUGGGGUUACAGGGCGCCUCUUACCAUCUGGCCAAUUUCUUUCACCUCAGGAUACUGGCAUAAUUGCUCACACAUCUUUGGUUCAAAUUCAGCAUGUUUCUCUGAUAAAUGACCAGAAAAUUUGACAGGCUCUCUGAGGGGACAAGCAAAUUCCUGGCUUGAAUCUCGAAUGUUCAGGUUUCUGAAAGCGGGCUGACAUCACGCCCUCUCCUCUUGGGUGUUCAGUUCGCUGAGAGGAAGGGGCAGAGGACACUCACGCCGGUCUGUGCCCAAGACCAGUGCUUCAAAGGUCAAAGCCCCAUCUUUAGCCCUGUUGUUUCUGGACCCAAGGGUCUGCCUCUGGAGAAACAGGGCCAGCUGACCCAGGGAGCCUGUCACACUCUGGCCCUGGGGCACCGAUCUGGCUGACAUGCCCGCCAGAUGCUGAGGGCACAGCUGUGUCCCUGCCCUGAGGUGAGUCCGUUUGGCCAGAGCCGUAGAGGCUCCCUGUUUCCAGCCCAAGCCUCUGAGCAUGUGCUGAGGGUCCCACAGUCCUCCCUCAACUGCACCUCUGAGCCCGGAGUCUCAGCCAGGCGUCUGCCAGGGGCUCUGCCUGGGCUGGGGUUCAGCCUGGCGACCUUCAUCUAACACCGUCUCUCAGCCCUUCCUCCUGUUUCUCAGCUGCCCUAGAAGCUACCCGGGCCUUGGGCCUGAGCUGCUCGAUUUCAUUUCUCCUCAGCUGCUGAGCCGAAUGAAUGCCCUAGACGCUGGAGUAUUUCUCUCACAGUCUCCCCGAGUGCUCACCCCAACUUACCCCACCCCAAUACAUAAAAACCCCUGCAUCCCCACCAUUGGGUACCUUCUUUAAAUCAGUCCCAGCUGCCUUCCCUUCUCAGGCCCUUCCCUUAGUUCUGCUCCUUGAAACAGCCAUUGCAGACAGGACAUAGAGGUUCAGAUGGAAGGGGAAGAAAGAAUCCGGGGAGAACUCCUGAAAGAUAAAGCAAGGGGUUCCUGUCUGCCCCCUCAAAAUAGCACCACUUUCACAAGCUCCAUUCAUGACCACAAGCCCCGUUGGACACAUGAUGACUUUACAGAAGCUGCAGGAUUGGUAAUUGCGAGGCCAAGAUUCAAGACAGAUAUUGUGGGUCCAGUGUCCCUGCCCCCUGAGAAACAAAAACAAACCAACCCCAGAGAACGUGUCCACCUCUCUGGCCUCUGGGCAGCCAGAGCCGGGUGGAACUACCCAUCAGAUGCAGAAAGCACAUGUCUUUCUGCUCCCUGAGGUCAGUCGAUUGGUGCCAGAGAGUCAGUGGUGCCCUGUGAGCCAUCUUAACACAUCCUAGGGCUCCCACUAACCCCUCUUGGCACCACCUCGUAGCCUGGAGGUGCAGCCAGGGGGCUUCGGAUGGGCUUUGUCUGUGCUCUGGCCCCUUCCGGAGGCCGUCUCCUCUAACACUGACUCUCAGCCUUUCCUCCUGUUUCCCUCAGCGGCCCCCCAGGGCUCUCCUGGCCUUGGGCAGCUGCCAGCCUGAUUGAAUUCCUCCUCACCUUCUAAGCCAAGUGAAGUGCCCAGAGAGAGGGGCAAUUCUCUCAAAGACUCCCAGCACACACACCCCCACCCCACCUUAAUGCAUUAAAAUCCUUUUAAUUACCCUACUUUAAUUCCCGAGAACCACCUUUAAGUCUGCUCCCUGAAACAGGGCUUGGGGACAGGAAAACGAGGCCCCAAAGGAAAGAGAGAGGGAAUUUGGGGGAGGGUCUUGAAGCACAAAGCCUAGCGAUUUGCACAGUCGCCCAGAGGAGCCAGCACCACUGUUAGGCGCUCCAUUCCUGACCAUCAGCCCCUUUGCCGCAGGACAGUGACCUGGGUGGGGGGCGGGGCUUGGCAAUUGCGAGGCCAAGAUUCUAGAGAAUUUCCUGUCCAGGGUCCUGCCUCUGAGAAACCAAAAGCAAUCCAUCCCCAGAGAACCUGUCAAACUCUCUGGCCCCUGGGCCACCCAGGCAGGCUGGAAACGCCCAUCAGAUGCUGAAGGCACAGCCAUGACCCCUCCCUGAGGUGAGGCCAUUUGGGACAGAGAAUUAGAGGCACCCCAACCACCCCCAAAUCAAUGAGCCUGUGCUGAGUGCACCCACAUUCCUUCUUCCACUUGGGCUCUGAGCCUGAAUGUGCUGCCAGGCAGCGGCAGAGAGUCUCCGCCGGGGCUCUGUGCGGCCUGGUGACCAUCUGCUCUGACCCCAUCUCUCAGCCCUUCCUCCCGGUUCCCUCAGCAGCCCCUGCAGCUACCCUCUCCUUGGGCCCUGGCCGCUUGAUUUCACUGCUCCUCAGCCACCCAGCACAGUGAAGUACCCCAGACACUGUCCUUCUCAGUCUCCCACAUGCAGCCUACCCGAUCCCCGGACAUUCAAAACCCUCUGCCUCCCCACCCACUGCUUCUUGAGUCUUUAAAUCAAUCCGCUUUCAUUCGAAAGACCUGCCUUCAAGUCGGCUCCUUGCGAUACAGAGGUAGAGG
rnacentral:lncRNA from 1 species